rnacentral:rRNA from 1 species
UACCAGCACCCCGAGUGGUCGGGACGUUUAUUGGGCCUAAAGCAUCCGUAGCCGGUUCUACAAGUCUUCCGUUAAAUCCACCUGCUUAACAGAUGGGCUGCGGAAGAUACUAUAGAGCUAGGAGGCGGGAGAGGCAAGCGGUACUCGAUGGGUAGGGGUAAAAUCCGUUGAUCCAUUGAAGACCACCAGUGGCGAAGGCGGCGUGCCAGAACGCGCUCGACGGUGAGGGAUGAAAGCUGGGGGAGCAAACCGG